GACGAACGCUGGCGGCGUGCUUAACACAUGCAAGUCGAACGGUAAGGCCCUUCGGGGUACACGAGUGGCGAACGGGUGAGUAACACGUGGGUGAUCUGCCCUGCACUUCGGGAUAAGCCUGGGAAACUGGGUCUAAUACCGGAUAGGACCACUGCCUGCAUGGGUGGUGGUGGAAAGCUUUUGCGGUGUGGGAUGGGCCCGCGGCCUAUCAGCUUGUUGGUGGGGUGAUGGCCUACCAAGGCGACGACGGGUAGCCGGCCUGAGAGGGUGACCGGCCACACUGGGACGGAGAUACGGCCCAGACUCCUGCGGGGGGCAGCAGUGGGGAAUAUGGGACAAUGGGCGCAAGCCUGAUGCAGCGACGCCGCGUGAGGGAUGACGGCCUUCGGGUUGUAAACCUCUUUCAGUAGGGACGAAGCGCAAGUGACGGUACCUACAGAAGAAGGACCGGCCAACUACGUGCCAGCCGCCGCCGUAA
rnacentral:rRNA from 1 species